ensembl:lncRNA
UGUGUCGUAUGGUGAGGAGAGAGACUGGAACACAGUGUGUCGUAUGGUGAGGAGAGGGACCAGAACACAGUGUGUUGUAUGGUGAGGAGAGGAGAGGGACCAGAACACAGUGUGUCGUAUGGUGAGGAGAGGAGAGAGACCAGAACACAGUGUGUCGUAUGGUGAGGAGAGGGACCGGAACACAGUGUGUCGUAUGGUGAGGAGAGGGACCAGAACACAGCGUGUCGUAUGGUGAGGAGAGGGACCAGAACACAGUGUGUUGUAUGGAGAGGAGAGGAGAGGGACCAGAACACAGUGUGUCGUAUGGUGAGGAGAGGGACCGGAACACAGUG